GCCAGGUGCGGUGGCACACACCUGUAAUCCCAGUGGCUCAGGAGGCUGAGGCAGGAGGAUUGCAAAUUCAAAGUCAGCCUCAGCAAUUUAGCGAGGCCCUGAGCAACUUAGCAAGAUCCUGUCUUAA
rnacentral:sRNA from 1 species